AUUGAACGCUGGCGGCAUGCCUUACACAUGCAAGUCGAACGGCAGCACGGGUGCUUGCACCUGGUGGCGAGUGGCGAACGGGUGAGUAAUACAUCGGAACAUGUCCUGUAGUGGGGGAUAGCCCGGCGAAAGCCGGAUUAAUACCGCAUACGAUCUACGGAUGAAAGCGGGGGACCUUCGGGCCUCGCGCUAUCGGGUUGGCCGAUGGCUGAUUAGCUAGUUGGUGGGGUAAAGGCCUACCAAGGCGACGAUCAGUAGCUGGUCUGAGAGGACGACCAGCCACCCGGGGACUGAGACACGGCCCAGACUCCUACGGGAGGCAGCAGUGGGGAAUUUUGGACAAUGGGCGAAAGCCUGAUCCAGCAAUGCCGCGUGUGUGAAGAAGGCCUUCGGGUUGUAAAGCACUUUUGUCCGGAAAGAAAUCCUUGGCCCUAAUACGGUCGGGGGAUGACGGUACCGGAAGAAUAAGCACCGGCUAACUACGUG
rnacentral:rRNA from 1 species